rnacentral:rRNA from 1 species
UGGGGAAUAUUGCACAAUGGGCGAAAGCCUGAUGCAGCGACGCCGCGUGAGGGAUGACGGCCUUCGGGUUGUAAACCUCUUUCAGCAGGGAAGAAGCGAAAGUACGGUACCUGCAGAAGAAGCGCCGGCUAACUACGUGCCAGCAGCCGCGGUAAUACGUAGGGCGCAAGCGUUGUCCGGAAUUAUUGGGCGUAAAGAGCUCGUAGGCGGUUAGUCGCGUCUGCUGUGAAAACUCGAGGCUCAACCUCGGGCUUGCAGUGGGUACGGGCUGACUAGAUGCGGUAGGGGUGACUGGAAUUCCUGGUGUAGCGGUGGAAUGCGCAGAUAUCAGGAGGAACACCGAUGGCGAAGGCAGGUCACUGGGCCGCAACUGACGCUGAGGAGCGAAAGCAUGGGGAGCG